UGCGGGUGUGGCGGAAUUGGCAGACGCGCUAGAUUUAGGCUCUAGUACCUUUGGUGUGCAGGUUCAACUCCUGUCACCCGCACCAA
rnacentral:tRNA from 1 species